GUUGCCUUCCAUUGUAGCACUGAACUGAUCAACUAGUGGGCUCUUAUACAUGGACCCCCCUCGGCAUAGUAAUGCCAAAAAGCUUAUUUUUUUUAUUUAUGGAAAAUAUCCCAUGGUGUCACAAUUUCACUUUUUCUGAUUGCCUAUAUAGCGGUUUUCUGUAGUACCAACAGAAGUAGCUUUUUGUGUAAAAUAUCUAAUAGUGCUUAUUUAGAGAUUAUUGUAAAUAUUGUUUAUAGGCAAACCUUUAAAUUUACUGUCUUGAAUUUUGAAUUUCCUGCUUAAACCUAUUUAUUUAUUAAACCUAUAUAUUUCAGCUUAGAAUGAGCUCAGUAGAAGGUUUUCGAGUCUAAGGAGUGAACUGGCCUAAUAUAAUAAUAUAAAUGUAUGGUGG